rnacentral:misc_RNA from 1 species
UCUCCGUUGGUGAACCAGCGGAGGGAUCAUUGCUGGAACGCGUCCCACGGCGUGCCCAGAUACCCUUUGUGAACUUAUACCUAUACCGUUGCCUCGGCAAGGCUGGGAGACGUCACGUCUCCCCCGUGCUGGGCCCCCCAAACCAUGUCUGUAUAGUGAUACUCUGAGGACACACAAAUGAAUCAAAACUUUCAACAACGGAUCUCUUGGCUCUGGCAUCGAUGAAGAACGCAGC